CCCUUAGAUGUUCUGGGCUGCACACGUGCUACACUGGCAGGUUCAGCGAGCUUCAUGCCCUGAUCUGAAAGGAAUGGGAAAUCUUUUCAAAACCUGCCGUGCUUGGGAUAGAUGUUUGCAAUUAUUCAUCUUCAACGAGGAUUGCCUUGUAAGCGCACGUCAUCAGCGUGCAUUGAAUACGGCCCUGUAUUCUGUACACACCGCCCGUCGCUCCUACCGAUUGAAGUUUUCGGUGAGUUGACAGGAGGAUUUUUUUGAAACUGGUUCGCCAGUGGAUUUUAGAUACAAAUGCCAACGAAUCGAUGGCUUUAGAGGAAGGAGAAGUCGUAACA
rnacentral:rRNA from 1 species